UGCAGAUGAUGUAAAUAAACUUUGCUAUCGUAACACCAAUGUCGACACUCCACCAAGAUCGCUGAUGCA
ensembl:snoRNA SNORD24 Small nucleolar RNA SNORD24